UGGCCGGGUAGCUCAAUUGGUAGAGUGGCGCGCGUACAGCCUGAGGCGACAUUAGCGCGAUGUUGUGGCUUCGAGAACCACCCCGGCCACCC
rnacentral:tRNA from 1 species